GCCCAGGUGGUGGAAUUGGUAGACACGCAGGACUUAAAAUCCUGUUGCCAUUUCGGCAGUGCGGGUUCAAGUCCCGCCCCGGGUA
rnacentral:tRNA from 1 species